CUUAAACCCUUUAACUGCAUUUAAUGCAUUUGGAGAGUAUAAAAUGCACCUUUACUAAUUAGCCUCACUUACUUACUUACAUCCUGACAAGAAUCAGCAACAUGAAGUUAAACAACACAGCCUGCUAUAUUCUCGUGAUAUGUCUGAUUAGUAGUCAGGUGGACGCAAAAUUGAAGCAUCUUUUAGGAGCAGGCGCUAUAGCUUAUGGUGCAAGUCGUUUACUUGGACAAGGCAGAGGUCACUAUGGUUUCAAUAAUUACGGAUUUCAACAGCCUUACUUUCGUGGCUUUCACAACCCUUAUCCCUAUGGCAGCCCUUAUCCCUAUGGCAGCCCUUAUCAAAGCGCGUUUGGCUUUCAACGGCCAUUCGGAUUUGGUGGUCCAGACCUAACGUCAAUAGCUUCCAUUGGUGUAGGGGCUGCACUACUUAGUGACAAAAUUUUUUGAAAUACGAUAACCAGUGAUUCAUUAUCCUUUCUUUAACCGUGAUCCUUUACUCGUGUAAUUUUCUACAAAUAAAAUGUGUUGCCAUGUA